CUAGGUACUGGCUGGUGGUAUAGCAGUCAUACCACAGU
rnacentral:sRNA from 1 species